rnacentral:rRNA from 1 species
CGGAGCUAAUGCCGGAUAACAUUUGGAACCGCAUGGUUCUAAAGUAAAAGAUGGUUUUGCUAUCACUUAUAGAUGGACCCGCGCCGUAUUAGCUAGUUGGUAAGGUAACGGCUUACCAAGGCAACGAUACGUAGCCGACCUGAGAGGGUGAUCGGCCACACUGGAACUGAGACACGGUCCAGACUCCUACGGGAGGCAGCAGUAGGGAAUCUUCCGCAAUGGACGAAAGUCUGACGGAGCAACGCCGCGUGAGUGAUGAAGGUUUUCGGAUCGUAAAACUCUGUUAUUAGGGAAGAACAAAUGUGUAAGUAACUGUGCACAUCUUGACGGUACCUAAUCAGAAAGCCACGGCUAACUACGUGCCAGCAGCCGCGGUAAUA